CUUAGGUAACUUGGAAUGGGAAGAGGAGACAGAAAACCAACCAUUUCAUGUUUCACAGCUUGGAGAGAUUUUGAAAAGAAAGAACAAUGACCAACACUGGGUUAGAACAGACGUUGAGGGGACAAUAGUGGAUGCUACUAGUGCUUCGAGCACCGAAGAAUAGUUGAGGUUAGUAGCAACAAGGUUUCGACUGCAUGCUACAUGGAGGCAUAGAGGGGGUGGUGGCAUGUGUUCUUUGUGUUGGUACAGAACUGCUUGGUGGCUUCGUGCAGAGUAGCUAACAAACUUGCUUGACGAUAUACUAAUGUGUGAGACUAUGUGUUGGUCAAAACUUAGUGUACUCUUAUAUUUAUGCUUGAUAAUUUGGUUCGCUAUGA